UACGUAGGGUGCAAGCGUUAAUCGGAAUUACUGGGCGUAAAGCGUGCGCAGGCGGUUGUGCAAGACAGAUGUGAAAUCCCCGGGCUCAACCUGGGAACUGCAUUUGUGACUGCACGGCUGGAGUGCGGCAGAGGGGGAUGGAAUUCCGCGUGUAGCAGUGAAAUGCGUAGAUAUGCGGAGGAACACCGAUGGCGAAGGCAAUCCCCUGGCCUGCACUGACGCUCAUGCACGAAAGCGUGGGGAGCAAACAGG
rnacentral:rRNA from 1 species